rnacentral:lncRNA from 1 species
UGCUUUUAGGUUGUGUUUUAUGCUUAUCUUCAUUCUUUGCUGAAUUCAUUCAAGUUUUAGCUUCAUUUCCUUNGAUUAGAGUUGUCAAAAGUAGACUUAGCUUUAGAUUUAGGCAGAGGUAGUUCUAGCAUUGAUUUUUCAAUCUAGUUCAUUUCAAUUCAGUCAUUUUUGCAUAGGAUGAGUAGCAAGUCAGUUUUAGCAAUUCUUAAACCCUUGAGAGAUUUUGGGUCAAUUUUUGUCUUUCUUGUGUGAUACAUGCAUGUUUAAUUAUCAUUUUGAUUUUGCAUUGAUUCUUUAUUGAUGUGUUUGCUCUUGGUAACUUUGAAUAUGAUCUAGGCAUCCUUCGUUUUUCCAUUUUAGCUCACCCAUUUUAUUUUCUUAUCAUUGCACCUUAUUUUGAAUCUUAGCCUAUUUUCUUUUCUUNUUUCCAU